CAGUAGCCGCGGUAAUACGAAGGGUGCAAGCGUUACUCGGAAUUACUGGGCGUAAAGCGUGCGUAGGUGGUGGUUUAAGUCCGUUGUGAAAGCCCUGGGCUCAACCUGGGAAUUGCAGUGGAUACUGGGUCACUAGAGUGUGGUAGAGGAUAGUGGAAUUCCCGGUGUAGCAGUGAAAUGCGUAGAGAUCGGAAGGAACUUCUGUGGCGAAGGCAACUAUCUGGGCCAACACUGACGCUGAGGCACGAAAGCGUGGGGAGCAACAGGAUUAGAUACCCCUGUAGUCCCUGUCUCUUAUACA
rnacentral:rRNA from 1 species